AGGGUUUCGACCGGAGCCGGAGAGCUAUGAUUGGCCCGUCAGACCGGAAGGGUUCUUCACUCUGCCAGAGAGGAUGUUAUCUGAUGUUAAUACAAAAGGAUUUCAGGGUGAGGGGGUGGGGUUUUUGGGGCGGUCCUCGCUAGAUGUGACCCCUCCCCCUGCAUAUCGGACCAAAGCUUCUUCCCAUCGUGUCCUUGUAAGGACUUAACUGCAGCUGAAGAUCCACUAAAUGACACACCUGCUGCUGCAGAGGGGAAGUUAGAUUCACUGAAGUCCGGCUAAACUCUGUUUUGGGUUUUGUUAUGCAACAAAAUGAGGAAGUGUUUCUUUAAACUU